rnacentral:lncRNA from 1 species
AAUUAACGAAUCGUAACCAAAUUUUUUUCCAAAUAUGCCUGAUGUACUGUCUUUUAUGAUAACUACGCAGUUAGUUUUUUCAAUCGUUCCGAUAGAUUCAGAGCUGUCAUUACGCCACCUAUCAAAAAUCGGCAUGAACUUUCCGAACAACCCAAUACUUUGGUUUGCUCUAUACUGGAGUAUUCCUCUUCAGUGUGGUCUCCAAGCAAGUUAUAUAAUGAUCAAAGUGAACAAAUUGAAGAUAUUCAGAGAAAUUUAAUUAAAAUUAUUUUAAAGAAGAACAAUAUUGCUUAUCAUAGAGCAGACUAUACAGAUCGGAAGA